rnacentral:rRNA from 1 species
UACGAAGGGGGCUAGCGUUGUUCGGAAUUACUGGGCGUAAAGCGUAUGCAGGCGGAUCGUUAAGUCGGGGGUGAAAUCCCGAGGCUCAACCUCGGAACUGCCUUCGAUACUGGCGAUCUUGAGUCCGGGAGAGGUGAGUGGAACUCCGAGUGUAGAGGUGAAAUUCGUAGAUAUUCAGAAGAACACCAGUGGCGAAGGCGGCUCACUGGCCCGGUACUGACGCUGAGAUACGAAAGCGUGGGGAGCAAACAGG